rnacentral:RNase_P_RNA from 1 species
CGAGUCGGUCAGGCGAUCGCUCUCGAGCCGCUUCACGGUGGCUCGGGGGAGGAAAGUCCGGGCUCCACAGGGCAGAGUGCCAGGUAACGCCUGGGGGGCGAAAGCCUACGGAAAGUGCAACAGAGAGUAAACCGCCCAAACGUGGCAAAAGCGGGGUCAGACCCCACUGCGUCAUUUGAGUGCCAUUUAUGGCUGGGUAAGGGUGAAAUGGUGCGGUAAGAGCGCACCGCGCGGCUGGCAACAGGCGUGGCGAUGGUAAACCCCACUCGGAGCAAGACCAAAUAGGAAUCCGUCAGCUGUGGCCCGCAGUGGAUUCGGGUAGGUCGCUACAGGCAGGUGGUGACACCUGUCGCAGAUGAAUGAUCGUCCACGACAGAACCCGGCUUAUCGACCGACUCAUCUU